rnacentral:tRNA from 1 species
GGAAAUGGUAGGGGGCUGGUGCCCCUUCUGGUCUUCAAAACCAGCGUAGGGUGUUCGGAGCAUCCUAGGUGGGUUCGAUUCCCAUCCAUUUCCGCCA